UACGUAGGGUGCAAGCGUUAUCCGGAAUUAUUGGGCGUAAAGAGCUCGUAGGCGGUUUGUCGCGUCUGCUGUGAAAACCCGAGGCUCAACCUCGGGCCUGCAGUGGGUACGGGCAGACUAGAGUGCGGUAGGGGAGAUUGGAAUUCCUGGUGUAGCGGUGGAAUGCGUAGAGAUCCGGAGGAACACCAGCGGCGAAGGCGGCAUCCUGGACUGGUCCUGACGCUCAGGAGCGAAAGCGUGGGGAGCGAUCCGG
rnacentral:rRNA from 1 species